AGCAGUGGGGAAUAUUGCACAAUGGGCGAAAGCCUGAUGCAGCGACGCCGCGUGAGGGAUGACGGCCUUCGGGUUGUAAACCUCUUUCAGCACGGAAGAAGCGAAAGUGACGGUACGUGCAGAAGAAGCGCCGGCUAACUACGUGCCAGCAGCCGCGGUAAUACGUAGGGCGCAAGCGUUGUCCGGAAUUAUUGGGCGUAAAGAGCUCGUAGGCGGUUUGUCGCGUCUGCUGUGAAAGCCCGGGGCUUAACCCCGGGUGUGCAGUGGGUACGGGCAGACUUGAGUGCAGUAGGGGAGACUGGAAUUCCUGGUGUAGCGGUGAAAUGCGCAGAUAUCAGGAGGAACACCGAUGGCGAAGGCAGGUCUCUGGGCUGUUACUGACGCUGAGGAGCGAAAGCAUGGGGAGCGAACAGGAUUAGAUACCCUGGUAGUCCAUGCCGUAAACGUUGGGCACUAGGUGUGGGGAACAUUCCACGUUUUCCGC
rnacentral:rRNA from 1 species